rnacentral:rRNA from 1 species
GACGAACGCUGGCGGCGUGCCUAAUACAUGCAAGUCGAACGGUCUUUUCUAUGGAAGCUUGCUUCCACUGAGAAGAUAGUGGCGAACGGGUGAGUAACACGUGGGUAACCUGCCCAUAAGAGGGGGAUAACAUCCGGAAACGGGUGCUAAUACCGCAUAGUUUUCUUGAUCGCAUGAUUGAGAAAGGAAAGACGGCCUUUGUGCUGUCGCUUAUGGAUGGACCCGCGGCGUAUUAGUUAGUUGGUGAGGUAACGGCUCACCAAGACGAUGAUACGUAGCCGACCUGAGAGGGUGAUCGGCCACAUUGGGACUGAGACACGGCCCAAACUCCUACGGGAGGCAGCAGUAGGGAAUCUUCCGCAAUGGACGAAAGUCUGACGGAGCAACGCCGCGUGAGUGAAGAAGGUUUUCGGAUCGUAAAACUCUGUUGUCAGAGAAGAACAAGUUGGAGGGUAACUGCUCCAGCCUUGACGGUAUCUGACCAGAAAGCCACGGCUAACUACGUGCCAGCCGCCGCAGUAAUAC